GUGCUCGCUUCGGCAGCACAUAUACUAAAGUUGGAACGAUACAGAGAAGCAUGGCCCCUGCACAAGGAUGACACACAAAUUUGUGAAGCAUUCCAUAUUAUU